rnacentral:rRNA from 1 species
UGCCAGCCGCCGCGGUAAUACGGAGGGUGCAAGCGUUAUCCGGAAUCACUGGGUUUAAAGGGUGCGUAGGCGGUUAGUUAAGUCAGAGGUGAAAGCCCGGCGCUCAACGUCGGAAUUGCCUUUGAUACUGGCUAACUUGAAUCAGGUUGAGGUGGGCGGAAUGUGGCAUGUAGCGGUGAGAUGCAUAGAUACCAUAAAGAACACCGAUAGCGAAGGCAGCUUACUAGGCUGAGACUGACGCUGAGGCACGAAAGCGUGGGGAGCGAACAGGAUUAGAUA